UUUCUCUGAUUUUUCGCUGGCGGCAAAUGCUCUGAAAUCUGGGUGUCUGCUGCGGCUAGGAUGUGUGGUGCUUGGCUUCUUGUUGCGGUGGUGUCGCAAGCACUUUUGAAGCACUACUUCGGCAAAGGACCGUUCAGGGACACCUUGGUUUGCAGUCUUGACAAAUCGUGUUGCGGUUCCUAACGGUAGUACCGUGUACGACGGUUGGUGCUGUGUGGUGGUUUUUCUUCCUCUUCUAGCAUUGCGAUUGGACGUUUGCGGAGCCGGCGCUGUCCUCUUCGGCUCGAGUUGUUGUCCACCAGUGGUUACUCGGUGACCUCUCUCUUCAAUUUAGAUGGGGUGAUCUCAAGUCGCCUUAUUGGGUCGACGCUACUGCAUAAGCACCUUCUUCCUUGAUAUUGGCUCUGGGGAAGGAGCAAAGAAUCAGUUGCACUAGCUGGACUAGUGUUCUUCAAAGAAAUCGUCGUUGUGCAAGCAAGCCUAAGUGGCAGUUGGAAGUCAAUCACGACGAUCAUGAGUUGGAGAGUUGUAAGUGCAACAAAGGAUCACGACGGGAUUGAAGCAUUAGCGAUUCUCGACCAUCACAGCAACAUAGAUCACAUGCAAGAUUGCACCAAAGAGGAUACAUAGAGGGGGCUUGCGUAGAUUUUGCAAGUAGAUUGGAGCGUAUUUUGCAUGCCUAGUUGAUCAUUUAGUUAAGGAGUUGCAGUUAGAUCAUAGGAAGCAGAUUGCGUUAUGGAAUUCGUAGGAACUCAUCAAAGUCACUAAGAAGGUCAAAUUGUCUAGAGGCACAUGGUCGAAGCUGCUCAAGGAGGGUGGCAUUUUGGUAAAGAUAUCUCGCGGUGGAACAGAAUCGGUGAGAAUUUAGGAAGGUUGAGGAAGGCGGUGCAGUGUUAAGUACGAACCAACUCAGCCCUAGGCAUAGCUUAUGGUGCCGGGCCGACCGUUCACGAGGACUUCACCACACUGUGGAGAGCCUUUUAUUGCGGUUGUGUAAGGCGCAAAAUUCAAGUUGAAGGUUGUGGCGAAGGAGCACCCAGAACUAAAGGGGGAAAAAAAAGAAAAGAAAAGAAAAGAAAAACCCCUUCUACAUUGUCUUGUUCAGUGGAAGAGCACAAGCGGCGGUUCUGGUAGCGGAUUCAAAUUGACACGGCAGUAGAAAUUUGUGUCGAGCUAGCGUGGCUAGUUCCGAUCCAAUCGACACUUCAAUUGGAUAGAGGCCUUGUUGUGGAAGGAGAAGAGGCGGAGGACUCCCGCAGCCGAUAGGAGGUAUUUUGGUGUUGGAUUGAUCUUCGCUAGCGGCCAUUGUUCUUCUUCAGGGGCUUCGAAUUCUACAAUCAAUCGGUAAUCAGUAUUAUUUUGGAAGGACAGUAAGUGAACAGCCAGCGGACCCUCCAACCCCUUUGUGCAACUUCGGCAUCCUGAUCUGAAGCUAAUCAUUAGAGCUGCUGUAGACUAUCUUCAGAUUACUAGCAACUUAGUGGUUGAGAUCCAACAUUCAAUCCGGUUUUGGAAAGUAGGCAAGACAUUGAAUUUACAUCAUUGAGUUUGGGUUAAAAAUAAAUAACUUUAUGUGAGUUUAAAUCAA